rnacentral:rRNA from 1 species
AACGAACGCUGGCGGCAGGCUUAACACAUGCAAGUCGAACGCCCCGCAAGGGGAGUGGCAGACGGGUGAGUAACGCGUGGGAACAUACCCUUUUCUACGGAAUAGCUCUGGGAAACUGGAAUUAAUACCGUAUACGCCCUACGGGGGAAAGAUGUAUCGGGGAAGGAUUGGCCCGCGUUGGAUUAGCUAGUUGGUGGGGUAAAGGCCUACCAAGGCGACGUUCCAUAGCUGGUCUGAGAGGAUGAUCAGCCACAUUGGGACUGAGACACGGCCCAAACUCCUACGGGAGGCAGCAGUGGGAAAUAUUGGACAAUGGGCGCAAGCCUGAUCCAGCCAUGCCGCGUGAGUGAUGAAGGCCUUGGGGUUGUAAAGCUCUUUCACCGAUGAAGAUAAUGACGGUAGUCGGAGAAGAAGCCCCGGCUAACUUCGUGCCAGCAGCCGCCGUAA